rnacentral:rRNA from 1 species
AAAGGAAUUGACGGGGACCCGCACAAGCGGUGGAGCAUGUGGUUUAAUUCGAAGCAACGCGAAGAACCUUACCUGAUCUUGACAUCCUGCUGACCAUCUUUUGUAAUGAAAGACUUCCUUCGGGACAGCAGAGACAGGUGGUGCAUGGUUGUCGUCAGCUCGUGUCGUGAGAUGUUGGGUUAAGUCCCGCAACGAGCGCAACCCUUGUCCUUAGUUGCCAGCGGUCCGGCCGGGCACUCUAGGGAGACUGCCAGGGACAACCUGGAGGAAGGUGGGGACGACGUCAAAUCAUCAUGCCCCUUAUGACCAGGGCUACACACGUGCUACAAUGGCGUAAACAAAGAGAUGCAAACCUGUGAAGGGGAGCCAACCUCAAAAAUAACGUCUCAGUUCGGACUGUAGUCUGCAACCCGACUACACGAAGCUGGAAUCGCUAGUAAUCGCGAAUCAGAAUGUCGCGGUGAAUACGUUCCCGGGUCUUGUACACACCGCCCGU